AAAUCAGCAGGGCUUCCCAGCUGUAAAAGAAAGAAUAAAUUAUUCCAAUAACAUGGAUUAAGAGCUGAAGUUAAACCACUCUACCUCUACUGAUUUCAAUUGAUUUACACCUGGGAUUAAUAGGCUAUUGAUGUUUGCAUUUCAAGUAUACAUACCAGACCGUGACUUCAAAACAAAACCUUCCAGUUAACAAAGAAAGCAGAAACAAAACAACCUUGCUUGUAGAGCUGAGAAGAGUGGGACAGAAGGACAAUACAUCCCAAGCACACAAGGGAGGGGGGAAGCCUGGGAGAAGAGUCUUAAUGAGAAAGCCUCCAAGAUCCCAGCAACCUGAGCUCCCGGGACCAAGCUGAGUUACCAGCAGCCAAGCCUUCACCUCUACCACAGCCCAGGAGCUCUGCUGGGCUCUGCACAAGUUUUAUCCCUUCCAGGGAGCUCUAAAAAGUUUCAAGAAAACAGAAGGGAGAUGGAACUGUUAGUUUUUGUGUGGAUAAUUUUUUAAUUCCUAUAGAUCGUGGAGGUCUAAAAAAUGCACUUUUCAUUCCCAUUUUGAAAGAUUUUCCUUUUUAUUUUAUGAUUACCCUUAUAACGUAGCUCUUGGCCUUGUAAAUCCAGUUGUUAAAUGUGGCACAAGAGUGGACUCUCUAUUUGCUAAAAACAAGGAUGUCUAAGAAAUACUGACACUCCAACCUUAUUCCACAGGGUUCAUUUUCAUACAGCGUUGUCACAUUCAGGAAAAUCAUCCUUUUCAAUUUCACAGCAGAUUUCUCUUUACUAGAAUAGUUUUGUCACUGUUAAAUCAAUCCAAAAUACACUGAAAAUUCUGAAAAUUAUAGGAUUUAUCCUGUCCUAAUUCGAUCUUGCUGUUUCUAUUACUUGCUCUAGCAACCGUGGUAGCAGACUUAUAAACCUGGUGUAUGCAUUCUACUCAGAACAACCAAUUCCCAUCCACGCAAAUUAUUAGGUAGAAGACAGACUUCAUUGGUAGAGAUUACAGCUUAAACAGACAUACAUUAUCUACAGAGGAAAAAAGAAAAUGAUUUCCCUACUGAAAAUUGACAAAGUGUAUUAUGUUCUUGCUUAGUGACAACUUCUUUCACUUGGAAAAGUAGUAAAUGUAUGCUGUAAAUGUAUAUUAUUAAAAGUCACAUGGCCCUGGAAGUGACUAUCUGAAAGAGAUUAGGGACGUCAGAAAAAAUCAGGCAUCUGAGGAAGAGAGAGCAUUACCGUACACAAGCACAGGGAUGAAUGAGGCAAAAGAGAGCUAGAGCAAGUGUUAAGCAGAAGAGAGUGGGACAUCAAAACAGAAAACUAGAGCUAGAUUAAGACAAAAGAAAGAGUAUUUAUUGAAAAUAUUUUUAUGAGAUUUUUUUUUCUGUGUUUUUUUUUUUUUCUUUUUUCUUCCUGUUCAGGCCACUUACUUUCUUUAUCAAAAGAAGUGGGGAAAACAUACAAAUAUUCUAGGUUCUUUCUACUGCAGUUAUUUCUGAUUUGAUAGAGAAAGGUAUGCCAUUUUUUUCCAGCAUACUACUAAAUAAUACUUAGCUAUCCAUCUAUCUAUCUUUUAUGUAGCUCUUGGUUACAGAAUUGGCAAAAUUUUCUCUUCUUUCUUACAAAGGCUCACUUUUUAAAAUCUCAAUUUCUGUUAUCUGAUUUCCUUUGAAAAUAGAAUUCCAGUUCUUUUUACAGCUCCCUAAAAUAUUUGUUAUGAAGUCAAAACAUCUGCAAGCCAUUUCACAUCUUUUCAACAUAAGGCAACUCAAUGCUUAGAACAAUAUAACAGGUUAAUACUAUUAAUUUGGCCCAGCACUACAAAUGCCAUAGUGGGACAUGUCAGCCCAGUAAUACUCAACUAUGUGUUAAAUGGAAACGUGUAAGUUCAACUGACCCCCACACGUGCAGAUGAAGAUGGGUUAAGAUUUGAGAUCUGAUUAAAGAAUAGCAUUUACUUUCAGAAGAGGCUCUGAAAGGUCACUUAAGCAGGAGGUCCCAGAAUACAACUUGAAGAUGAAGCUAGUAAAUACAGACUUUGUGAUGUGAGUGAUACCUAAGCUUUUCCUUCCUCUCUUUCCCCCCAUAACAUACAAAACCCAUUGCCACAGGGUAGUCUGACUGCUUCUCUCUGGCCAUCUUCUGCACUGGCUGAGGUGGAAGCUCAGCAGACAAGGUGAUGCAAUGCUGCAGCAGUGCUUGGGCUCUGCCUCCCAGCAGAGGCUUGUACUCAAAAGGACUGUGCUACAAAAGAAAUUCCCCAAACAGUAGCUACAUAGUAACAUUUUAUCACUGUAGUGUAAAACACAUGCUGCUGCUGCUACAAAUAUAGUACCGUUUUGCGGUUUUGUUUUGAAAGAUUAAAGCUAUGAAAACACUGGAAAGGGCAGAAGUAAAGAGGUGACUGAAAGGCUACAAGACUUCAAAUGAUGGCAAGUAGGGACGUAGAAUGAGGGCAUGGUGAAACUCAGCUGUGACAGAAAAAUGGUAGGCCAUUGAGCCAUGCAAUAUAAUAUCUGCAUUCAAACAAUCCUACACCUAAUCUGCAAGGCUGAAAUGCAGCACUUAAAAAAAAAAAAAAAAA